rnacentral:rRNA from 1 species
CCUACGGGGGGCUGCAGUGGGGAAUAUUGGACAAUGGGCGAAAGCCUGAUCCAGCCAUGCCGCGUGUGUGAAGAAGGCCUUCGGGUUGUAAAGCACUUUCAGUGGGGAAGAAAGCCUUGGGGCUAAUACCCUCGAGGAAGGACAUCACCCACAGAAGAAGCACCGGCUAACUCCGUGCCAGCAGCCGCGGUAAUACGGAGGGUGCGAGCGUUAAUCGGAAUUACUGGGCGUAAAGCGCGCGUAGGCGGUCUGAUAAGCCGGUUGUGAAAGCCCCGGGCUCAACCUGGGAACGGCAUCCGGAACUGUCAGGCUAGAGUGCAGGAGAGGAAGGUAGAAUUCCCGGUGUAGCGGUAAAAUGCGUAGAGAUCGGGAGGAAUACCAGUGGCGAAGGCGGCCUUCUGGACUGAGACUGACGCUGAGGUGCGAAAGCGUGGGUAGCAAACAGGAUUAGAUACCCGUGUAGUC